UGUGCUGCCAAGCCCUUUGUCAGCAUUUAAAUAAGGAUGAGACUACACGAUACUAUAGGACUGCAGCACUGAUGAUUUAAGGACUAUUAAAUUCCAUCACUUGAUUUCCAAUCUCUAAGAGGAAUCUUCACAUCCUAAAAAGUUCUGUGGAUUCGCUGCACCCUAAUAUUCCUCUGAUUUAAAUUACCAGUCAUCAAGUUCUCACAUCCUUACAGCUAAGGAAGACUGGAUAAAGAUUCUGUUGAAAGUUCAUUAACAUUACUUCCGUAAAUGGCCAGGGAGGAAGCUGCAGAGCAAUGCAGCAUGUUCAUCACCUCCGGAGCUGAGCAUAUUGUCUCUACACCUUGCUUAGUUCAAACCAGCCAAACAAGCAAGAGACCAAAACUAGAAAUCAAACCUGUUUCUUCCAGGUGGUAGUUCAGAGGACAACCAGCACCAAAUGAUGCUUUAAAUAUAUUUAAUCACCCCCUACAAAUGGCUAAGGAGAGCAUCUCACCUCAUAUCUGUGAGGUCCCCAUUUUCUACUUGAAUUAGUGAAAUAAAGGGUCCUCUUGCACGAUAUUUCUAGUCCAAGAACCUAAAAGGAAUUCCAUCUACACUUGAGUAACAAAAAUACCCAAUGAUCAAAUGCAACGGACAACAUCAAAGUCAGAAAGUGUUCCUGAUCUAGCUUUUAAAUGAAACUACCCACUUUCACUCACCCCAUCAGUCAGUUUUCUGAAAGCGAAACUAUCCUAAAACAUUCAAUAUGUGAUAGAAAGUAAAAACACAAUAUUUGCAGUCUUGUAUCCCUGUUGGUCCCAGGCUAUUAAAGAGACAGGGUGAGUGAGGGAAUAUCUUUUAUUGGACCUACUUCUGUUGGGGAAAGAGAAAACACUCAGAGGGUGUAUCUAUACUGCAAAGAAAAAUUCACAGCACCACAUUUCAGAGCCUGGGUCAGCUGACCUGAGCUUGCAGGGCUCCGGCUGCAGGACUAAAAAUAGCAGUGCAUCUGUUACCACUUGGGCUGGAACCUGGACUCCAAAAAUCUCUCCCCUUGCUGGGUUUCUGAGCUGUGAGGGAACACUUUGCACAAAAUUCUCUCUCCAUACCUGACCUCAGUACUCAUCCUCAAAGGAAACCUGCACAACAACUUCAAAAAACGAGCCUGGGAGUGUAAACUCAUACCUUUGCUAGACACUAAAAAUCAUGGCAUGGAAUGCCAAAUGUUCUAUAAUUAAUGUCACAAAAUGUUAGUUUUUAAUUAAAAGAAACAAAUAUGAAAUUAUUUUCUCCUCAUUUAGCAUCUUGGUCUCCCUCAAAUACUUCUUUCUGAAUCAUUUUAAGCACUACAUGCCUAUGAGUCAUUAACACAUUGGGCUAAAACCUGAGACCAAGAAACUAUAUUCAUAAGGCUGAUUUUCUUAGAAUAGUACUGCUAUUUUCUGAGAAUUUUCUUUUAGGAGAGAAGUUGAAUAGCUCCAGAACCACAUUUUUCCAAACUUCCUCCAAAGUUUAGAGGGGCAUUCUGGAGGUGGAAGAUGGGUAUCUAAAAAACUGACCAGUUGCUGUCAGUAAGGAUGCAUCUCGGUGACCUUUCACAUGGGUUUAGCACCAGUGCAGCUCCACUGAUGUUAGCAAUGUUGAAAGCACUAACAUAGCGCAGGAAAAAGUGUUUUACCAUUGCAUCAUUAACUCUGCACUUACAGCAAAAAUAUAGACAAGGCCUCACCCUCUCCCACCCUCACCCAGGACAUUUAACAGUGCAGAAAUUUUUUUAGUCCUCUGUACACUAAUAGUUAAAACAGUUUUCAGCACUCGUUCAAGGAGCAACCAAUGUAAACAACAAUUAUUGUCUACAGUGGUUCAAUUAUUGGUGUAGAUGGGAAUGGAAGUUGUCUGUAACUCUGAAAUGUUUGGAACUCUGAACAAAAGCACAGUUUGGUCUCCCGAUCCAAUGCUGACACUCCAGGCCAGGCUUCAGCAGCAGCUUCCUUCCCUGGGCUGGACUGAGUUUACAAGCUUGUCCCCUUCUGGCUGGCAGCACCAGUGUCUUCACCUCCUAGCUGUAGGUGGCUGCCCUGUGCGUGGGGGUGGGGUGGAGACAGAGACCCCAGAUGUGCCUACCUUUAAGAUGCAAUUCAAGCACAGUACAGUACUUGCUUUUUUUUUUUUGGUCUCUGCUAAUGCCUGAUUGGUUACUUCCAGUUUCACAUGGUGUCCUGUUGACCAGUCAAUCCGUAACUCUGGUGUUCAUAUCUUUGAGGUUCUAUUGCAGUUCUCUACUUUCGAAAUCCAGAACCACUCUUGUUUCAGUCACCAUAUAGAUUUCAAACAAACAACAACUAGAAAUACUCCAGAUCUGAUUCUACAAGAAACUAUGUAGUGUUAUUAGUUUAAUAACUUUGCAUGUAAAACUCAGAAAACAUUAACAGCAAUUAAAACAGUAUUUCCGCCCCUUAUUCAGCAUUGUUAUACAAAUGAAUCAGUCUUGAUUAUCUCAUUGGGAAAAGAAAGAUCACUCACCACAUUCAAACACAUCCUGCUCUACUGAGUAAUUAAAUGAAAUUGGUCACCACAGAUCAUCUACAGCUUCCCAUCCACCGUACCAAUGUGAAGAUUAAAAAAAAAAGAAAGAAAAAAGACUAGUUCAGAAGUGAUUCUGUAAGUCAUAAAAUACUCCAAUGGAGUAAGAACCUGGCAUUACUGUUUCCCUUCCUCCUCUCCCAAAACACAAACAUUGUUCUCUCCAGCAUAAAGGUAAGAAACCCUAUACCUUAACAAGGAGCUUAAUAGAGCAGAGACAGAAAGAAUGAAUUAUUUUUAUAAGGGAUCUUGUACUGAAAUCUGUUUGACAAAGCAUAGGUUACUCAGGAAAACAUAUUUAAGAGUUAUCUCAGGUCUCUGCUGGAUCAUGGGAUAACAAGCACAAACACAGAGCUGGACUGCCUGGAUUUGCCAGAGUAAUAUGGUCCUGUCAGUUAACAUUAAGGAAAGCAUCAAUGAAGCACAUACAAUCUGUCCCAGCUCAUAAAGGUUCUACAGUUGUAAUCAGCUAGCAGAAUGUGGGGUUGAUAAAGAAAAGCAGGGCAUCUGCAUUUUCAGGUAGAUUGCAAUGGCUGGGCCAGUACAGGAAGGUAACAUUGCUUAAAAAAAUUGUCAAUGUUCUAAGCACUCACUUUGUGCAGUAACAAGUUCUUCGAGAUGCACGUUCCUAUGGAUGCUCCACUUCAUGUGCGCAUGCACCUUGGAUCAGAGAUUUUCUGUAGAAGUACCCGUUCAGCCCAUGCAUGUGCCCUACACAUCCGUAACAUUCGUAAUGAUGAUAUAUAGGGGUGCGCGGGCAAACCGCCUCCAAUUUUCUCUCCAUCAUAAAGUCCUGCAGAGGGCACUCCAAAGCGGAGGGGAAGGAGGGCGGGUAGUGUAGCACCCAUAGGGACAAAAUAUCUCAAAGAACUCAUUACUGCACAAGGUGAGUAAUCUCUCCUUUUUUUUGGGGUAGUGUUCCUGUGAUAACUCUUGAGCAGUAUCCCCAAAUGGAGGAAGGAGCUUCAGAACAUAAUCUAAUACUGAAGACAGAACUGCAUUGCUCAGCACAGCAUCUGAUCUAGAGGCAUGCACCAUGACACAGCGCUCGAAAAAAAAUGCCAGCGCUCUGUGGACAUCCAGCAGUGUAGGAUGCCUCCCUGUUGUUGGGCGUGUGGCUUGGGGUAAGAAUACAGUCGUCAGCAGUUCGGUAGAAUGUCCUGCACUUCCUUGGAACAGCGUGUUUCAAGUUCUGUCAUCCAUGGAUUAUCCAAGCCUUGAGAUGGGGAGUAUUGGAAUGUUGGAUGACUGCGGCCUCCUGGAUCCGGUGUCAGCAAUGAACACAAGGGAAAGGGUUUUGUGGUGGUCUCACAGCCAUCUGGUCCAGGGACAUAUAUUCCCAGUGUCUUUAAUGUUGCAUGGGAGUCCUUCAAGGUGUGUAAGGAUACAUCUGUACUCUCUGCGAACAAUUUUUGGUCUUUGAAAGUCAAGUCCUCUACGGUAGCCUGAACUUCCUUGGGGAAGCAAGUAAAAUAGACCCAGGAAGCCCUCUGCAUGACGACAGAUGUGGUGAUUGAUUGGGUUGAAAUAAGAGGAAUAUCUAGAGUUGUUAAGGGCACUGUUGUCAUUCUGACUGAAGCCAAAGGUGGUAGAGAAGGAACUGGGGAAUGGUUGGCUGCGCACCUGUGGUAACCACGUGGAGUGGGCUCCGAUUAGAAGCGCAGGGUCCCAAGACUCCUAAAGUGGAGCACCCACAGGGACAGUUCUCAAAGAAGAAAGUUAAAUUACUUCUCAGCAAACAUACACAUUACUGAACUUAAAAAUAAACGAGGACCUACAUGAAUGCUCUGGAUCAAUAGGCAACGGCAAAAGGACCUCUGAAGGACUGGCUGUGGGAAUAAGUCCGGGUUGCAUGGUAAAGGAAGCUGUUGUCUAAAGGUCUCCUACCUCAUUUGUUGCAGAAGUUGGAAGGUGUGUAGUAAAUGAAGCAAGGAUUAAGGUAGUUGAAUGCUGCCCUGGAGCAUUGGAUUCUAUUCCUGCUUCUGCUGCAGAGUUCCUAUGGGAUGCUAGCCAUGUCAUGUAAGCCAAAAACUUUUCCCUAAUUGUGUGUUCUUUAUUUUCUAGGGGGUCUGACUUGCAGAAGUGCUAAGCUCUCACAGUUGCAAUGGAAGCCAGUGGGAGCUGUGCUCUGAAUAUGUGAAGUGCUAGAUAAUACUGACUAAGUAUUCUGAAAGUCGAGUUCAAGGUGUCUCAAAUGGGGCACCCAAAAUUAGUAGGUACUUGUGAUCUCUCUGAGCCUCAGUUCCUCAUCUAUAAAAUGGGGUAAUAGUAGUCCCUCACCUCACGGGGGAGUUGUGAAAAAUACCUUCAUUAAUAUUAGUGAAAUGUAAUAGUGUAGUGAUAAGUGCCACAGAAAAGCCUGUGAGGAAAUUAAUAAUUCUGUUCAAACCCUGCUCUGACUGUGCUGUGCAGUAAAUAAGGCUUGGGGGCCAAACACUGACAAAUAAGACAACAAAAUAUUGAAUACCUGCUCAUUCAAGACUGCAUAAUGCAUAUGCACAAGAGAGCUGAAAUUCUGGCAUUUCCUAGCUUCUGGGCGCUAUACUUUGCAACCCGAAUAAUGUUUUAACAGAGUUUCUGUUUGUAAUAUUGUAUACGUCAGAUACAUUUGCAUACACUUUAUAUUAAAAGCACACUCUACAAUAUAACUUUGCACACAUACAUAACACAAGGUCACACACAACUGUGCAAUGCUUAAAGCUGUGAUUGUCAAAGGGGGUUAGGUGCCCAAAUUCUAUUGCAAUUCAAUGGGAAUUGGGUGCCUAACAGACUUAGUCCUUCGAAUAUCUCAGGCUAAACGCUUAUUUUAACCUAACCAACAUGGAAAGUUUCUUAUUGUAAUUAGUUCUGAAAACAAAUGAUUAGUCAAAUAUUACUGUGUUACAGGACUUUCGGCAACAUGAUUUUACAAGUAGUAAUUCCAAACCAUAUGAAAAUACAUAACAAAAAUCAGUUUAGUAGAUAAGGCUUGCAUAUGUAAGUAAUUUAGAAUGUAACAGAACUUCUAAGUUUGGAUGUACAGUACGUCUAAUGGAACAUAAAAGGAUCUGACAGUUUAUAUAUAGAUUGAGUUAUAACAUUUUAGCCAGGUAAAUGUGGAUUUUAUUAAUAGACAAUCCUAGAACUACCUUAGAAGAUUUAGAAGUUAAGAAUCAGUGUGCAUCUUAACUUCAUUAUGUAAAAAUUUUAUUUAUAUUCUUAUCACAUUGAAAACCUACUUCUUAAAACCAUCCCCAGAAAUCAAACUUUCUGAAAUUAAUAUAAAAAGUGUCAUAACUAAGAGUUAUUUUUGCUUGAUUUAACAUAUUUGGGUGCCAUGGUAAUGUAGUUUUAUAGGAGACAUACUUAUAGACAGUCUGAUAAAAAUAAACAGCCAUAUUCUCCCUGUGCUGGUUGUACUGAUAUAAAAUUGAGGGUUUUUGAUGGAAGGAAUCCAUUUAUUUAUUGAUAGUUGAGAGUGUUUUAAACAUGUUAACUUUUCACAACAGCAUGUACAGGUUUGUGGUUUCUACCCUUAUUAUCCCUUAACCCCAAACAUCUGAGGAGUGAAAGUGGCUUACAUACAUUUCAGGGCUAAGAAACGGCCCGUCUCCUAUAGUACACUACAAAGUCAUUAAGCCACAGUUUCACAUGAAAAAUGCUAAAGACAAAGUGACAAAUAAUGCACUAUAUGAGUUACACUCAGCUAUUCAAUUAUAAACUACAGCAGUUCUAUGUGACUCUUACCAAGGUCAUCUUUAAUUUGUCAGUAACAGAUGAAUUAUAGUUUUGAAUCAUCUCUUUAACUUCUUCUUUACUGAGAUAGGUGUGGGUUUCUCUCUCUUUCUGAACAUCCUAGAACAAAACAAAUGCAGAAAAAACAACAGUUCAUUUACGUUCUAGGCUAUGAGCAAACAGUGCAAUCAAUCAUUACCUUAUACAGGCUCCAUAUACAGCAGUUAUCCAUGUAGUAAUACAAAGAUCUAGCAAUGAGAUAUGUCAAAAAAGCUGCUGUGCUGAUCAUAAACAGUUAAACUGACACACCCAAAAACACGUGUGUCAUUUUUUGCCAACUAUUUUUGUUCAAAUAUUUAUGAGCAGUAUGCAAAACAGCUCAACUUAUUUCAUGAUUAGAUUUUUUCAUUUCAAUGCUGUGUAAUAUUUUCCAAUCACAACAUUUGUACAGUAUUACUUUUAAGGCAUAUGUAAUUAAAAGAAUCUCUCUGCACAAAGCAGAAAAAUAUAUAAGAAAUCCAGUACCUGAUAAAUAAGUAAAAUCAAGAAUUUAUAAGUAUUGGAAUAUGGGCAUCUCAGCAUUCCAAAGGCGAAAGCAUUUAUCAACUUAUAAUAGUCUAUUAUCCUGCUUAUAUGACACAUCACAAGUAUGCCUCCAACCAUAUAUUGUUUCUCCAAAUUCAAGUGGUUUUUUGUUUUUGUUUUUUUUAAGAAGUCCCUAUCAGUUUUUCAGCUGUUGUCUUUUACAAGAUAUAUACUGAUUUUACAUGCCACUGUAAAAAAUCAAUCUUAAGCAUUGGCUAUUAUCCAAAAAAGCAUUUGUUCCCAGUCCACAUUACUGCGGCAAACCGGUGUUAUAAAUACACUCAGAUUUCUAUCACUUGCAAAAACACCAUAUAAAGUAUGAAACUGAUUCAGCUCUCAACUUUAAAGAUUUUAGACCUCUUUUAGGAGAGGAGUACAUUGACUUGGAAACAUCUGGGUACCUCUGAACAUAGGAAUACCAAUGCACCAUGUGCACAAUGGUCAAGGGUCAGUAUUUUAGACUACCCAUCUAAAUGGAUCCUGGAGGAGUUUGGCCUAAGAAAAGGAUUUUCCUGACCUCAAAAGCCACUCCUAGAACAUAAUCUCUUUGAGACUUCCCAGCAGAGCUGGCAGGCAUUUCAGUUUGCCAGAACUGAACCCUGUGACAACAUUGUGUCUGAUGCAGAGCUAUACAUUUUUGCCUGCCAGAAAGCCUAUACAAAGCUGAGAGUUUUAGAUUCUUUGAUUUUUUUACUAUAUACAUGAAUACAGAGACAUGCCUCCACCAUCCUCCCUAAAGCUAAAAAAAAGAGAUGUGGUCUGAGCAAAGGAUUGGAAACAAGGAACUCCCAAACUCUGAUUCUGGCUCAAACACUAACUUCCUUUGUGGUCUUAGAUAAGACACUUUCUGCCUUAGUUUCUCCCUUUAUAAAAUAAGGAUACCACCUACCUUAAAUAUGAACAUUACAGCUUUUAUGAUAAGAAUGCCAUUAGUUCCUUAAUUACAGCAUUUUUAUCCUGAAGUUACAAUAUUGUGGCACAGUGAUCAACUCCACUACAAGCAGGACCAAACCACCUGGGAAGUUUUCAGAAUCAAGACUCCCCCGUCUCACUAGAGAAAUUAAGAAUAUUGAUCAUCAUUUUUUCCCCUCCCUGUAACCUGUUCCCAGAGAGUGGUAAGUACAGUAACACUUAGCACUUUAAUAUAAUUAAAGUUUUAGUUAAAGUUUUUAUUCCCUUACUCCUUUAGGGGCUUCUCUAGUUUUGCGAAGGGUUUCCUUUGUGCUAAAGCUAAAAAAUAAGUAAUUUUUUCUUUAAAAUAAGAACAAAUUUUUUGGAGCAAUUUUAAUGUUUAGAAAUUAUUAAAUAUAAAAGAUUGUAGAGACAUCACAUAUGUAGCAAAUAAUAAGAAUCUGAAGACACCAGCAUCCUAAACAUAAUGUUUUUUGUUUUAAAUUUUAAAAAAAUAUUUUGAGGCAACUACUGCACCCUCAAUUUUAAUCCCAUUACAAAAGAUAUGUUAUGAGCAGGGAACAGUGUAUUCUGUAAUUAUUUGGCCACAGAAUUUAUGGAGCAAGCACUGCCACAGAAUUGUGCUCAAGAAUCUAAACUUAAAUUUUAAAAGUUUCUAGCCCUUAUAGUUGUGAACAUGUUCUUCCAAAUUGGCAUUGAUUCAGAUCCAUAUUCCUGAUGGGCAGAUAGCCUGAAACAUUAGCUUUGAGAGGUGUGAACUGCCCCAUUCAUCUCAACAGUGGAAAUUCUACACCCUAAUAAAGCAAUUUGAAAAUCAAAAUGUAUAAUUAUUUCACUGCUGAUACUUCCACUCAGGGGUGCGCAAACUAUGGCCUGGGGCCUGCAUCCGGCCCUGCAGACAUUUUAAUCCGGCCCUUGUGCUCCCACU